rnacentral:lncRNA from 1 species
GAGUGACCACAGCGUGGAAGAGUAAAGUUUAUUAAAUCUUCUGAGGGGCACAGAAGAGCUGGCACGGCAGGCAGCCUCGGGGACUGGGAGUGACAUUGGCAUGAGCCAUCGAGAAUGGGUAGGGACACACUGCCCUCGUGGGAGGAGAGGAUGCCUCUAAGAGGCACGUUCUUAGAGGGUUGCUGUGCACAGUGUGGCUCAGGGACAUGUGGCAGGGCAUCUCCAGGAAGCUUGCUGAGGGUACAGAUCCUCAGGCCCACUCAGACCCUCUGACUCGGCACCUGCCUUGGAGCAACUGACAAGAUCAAGGUAGAUCCACCGUGAGGGGCUCAAGGCAGAGGGUCUCUGAUAAGCUCUACAACAGCAAAGGAGGGCGGGCAGGAGAGAGCUCUCCUGACCUUGGUGGGGCAUCCCAGACCCAGAGGUCCCAGGUGCACGGGGAGCAGAGACAACAAGUGUGGAUUCGACAGGGAAAACUGGCAUCUGAAGCUGCAUUUGUGCCAGUCAGCUCGGGGUGGGGUGCAGCCUUGCCACCCACCCCCUCGGCUCAUUCAUUCUAGAAAUACCUGCGGGGUAGUGUGAUGGGCCGGAGCCCACAGGAGUCCACCCCUGGCAGCGUCCUGGGACCUCGAGUAAGCCUCUGUCUCCCUGGUCCUCAUUUGUCCAGCCCGGAGCGGGGAGCGUCACACCUGAAACCCCCUCCGUCACAUGCCUGAUUUCGGUUCCCGUCCCCCACGUUCCCCGCCACUUCCACCCGUGAAAAGUGGAAAAUCCCAAGCCCUCGCGGUCUUAGCCGGGGCUCCCGGAGGCAGAGUGAGGAUUCACGUAGAAGUGACUCAUUAGGAACCGGGAGGAGGGAGAGGGAACUGGGGACGGAGACAGAGGGUGGCUGUGGCUCUGUCCUGCAGGGGAGGCCGGAGUCUCCAGGGGGCUCAGGCCAAGGGAGCAGGCGGGGCCACAACCUCCCAGGUCCCUCAGCCCUGCCCUGGUGCAGACGAAGCUGUCCCGGGAGCCCUGGACAGACCCCAGGAGCCUGGCCUCCCGUGGUCCCUGCUGGCCACAGCUGGCUCUGAAAGACACCAAAGGCUGUGCCAGGUCAGCGGUCAGUGCUCGCCAAGUCUCUCCCAGGGAAGUUACUCAAAAAGAUCACACGGGACAGGUGGCCCCUGUGCCCCACCUGGGGGAGUCCCCGCGGCUGGCCUGGAGCUGUGGGAAGGCGGCAGAGUCCUGAGUGGCCUCAAGGUGAAGUGGCCCUCAUCUGAGAAGUCCCUGGGUCUCCCAGCCGCGAGGCCCAGCACUGCCACCUCCAGCCACCACGCUCAGUGCGUCCCCUGGGGUUGGGCCCUGAGACAGGCUGGGACACAGGCCCGCAGCACGUGCCCUCCACGCGGCCUUGCCAUCACCCGGCAGAGCUGACGAGUGGCAGCAGCGACUGUGUGGUCUGCAGAGACUCAAAUAUUUACUCGCCGGCUGCGCAGAGCGCCCGCCAGCCCGUGGGUGCUAUUUCUGGGCUCCGGAGCCUGAGGAGUCCUAGAGCUGCUCAUGGCAGCCUCGGCUCUUCCUUUAAAUCACCCUCACACAUUCGUGGAGCUCCCAUCUGAGAAUAUUCCCUCUUGGUUUCCAGGGAACUCGGCUCACGUGGGCUUCGGCUGCAAAGGGGAGAUGGCCAUCAUCUCUCAGGACAGGACCGUGCAGGGACCUCAAGUGUGUAGAGCCCAGGGUGCCCGCUGGGGGACAAGGUGGGCAGCGAGAAACAACCUGCAGAAGGUCGCAGAGGUGGGCCCCCACGUCCACCGUCAGGUGCCAGCUCAUGGCACACUUUGACAGAGCCGCCAUGCUGGGAAGUCCCCGGUGGGCAUUCCCAGGAACCCAGGGGGGGCAUCCAGACAAUAGCCAGCAAGGAGCCAAGAGCCUCAACUGAGCAGCCUCCAAGACUGAAGUCUGCAGCAACCACAGGAGCUUGGAGGCAGACCCUGCCCUUCUGGAACCGUCCAUGGAGACCCCAGCUGCAGCUGAUCCCUCAAGGACAACCUGACCAAAGACCUUGAAUUAGAGGUGGUGGCUGCACUAUGCCCAGGCCCCCGACUGCAGGGCUGGGAGAUGAUAAUGGCCUCAACAGGCAAUCUGUGGGGAUUUGUUACGCAGCAAUAGCUGACAAAUACAGCUUGGACGGGCCUGGGAAGGGAGAUCCCGCCGUGCACCAUGCUGUUGCUGACACACUGUGGUUCUCGGUAACAGAGGAGCUGCUGGGACAGUCCCAGGUGUCCCACAGAAGCCGCUGAGGUCUCUGGGAGGGGGCAAAUGGUGUCCUGUAGUGCAAGUAGCAGCAGGAGUGGGGAACUGAUGGGGCUCCAGUUCCUGAAGUAGCAACAGCCUCAUUUCUUUUAGAACUGGCCUCCUUUCACUCAGUGACAGUCACUUAUGACCAAUGGGCGGAGUCCCCUCACCCACUCUCCUACACGAUCUGGUUCUCAGAGACCUGGACAGGGAGUCCUCUGGCCAGUUCUAAACCAUAGAUUCCCUGUCCUUCCCGCCUAUGGACGUCACUUCUGGCAGGACGGGGUGCUGCGGUGCAGGGGGCUCUCCUCCCUGGGGAGUGUGGAACGUCUGGUUCCCGAUGCAGAAAUCAAACCUGUGCUUUAGACCGCACAAAUGGAAGGACACCGGGCCCCCUAUCCACACGUCCACAUCGGUGCACAGACUCGGCGUCUGGACAUGGGCUCCGGGUGCAGCUGCCCGAGCCCUCUGCAUCCUGGACAGGGGAGUUGGGGAAACGGGCCAUCUGAAGGGAGGCUGGAUUCCUGAGCCCCGUCACCAUAGCAACAGACUCCGCUGCUUCUGGGAGGCAGGACCGGGAGGCUGUUACAUAAGAGCCAACUCCUUCAUGGCAAAAGGAGAAAGAAAAGUGGGGGACACCUAAGCUGCUGGAAAAAAAAGGAACAGGAGCCGAAGAAAAGGGCCGCGGCUGGCCAGAGGGGACAGGGCCUCAGGCUCCUCGGGAGAGGAGCACCCGGGUCUUUCCGUGGGAGCAGCUUCGUGGCGCAGGAUGGCUGCUGCCGGCUUGGGCAAGUAGGAGGUGCCCAGCAGAGAACGUGGACGCAGCCCCCGGGGGACCUGCCUGGCAGAGGUGAGGACAACAGAGAGCACGUGGCCGGGUGGCCAGAGCCAGCCUGGUGGAGGGACCUCAGAGUGGAGGCCUGGGCCCCCAUGGGGCGCCGCAGCUGCCGCUGUCCUCCGAUUUCCCCCGCAUCCUGGGAAGCUUUUCCUUGGCAGGAAGAGAAGUUGAAGGCUCGUCUCCCCCCAGCGUCAGAAAUCACACCCCUGACCCUAAAAGGCUUGGGCUGAAACUGGGUGGGGGGGGGAGGGGCUGCCUUCUCAGGGCUCAUUUCCACGGUGUGGCAGCCUCCAGCCCCGGCCUCCUGCCUGGCCUCCCUCUUCCAGAGCCUCUCUGGCCUUCCUCUGGUGGGGCCUCCCCAGGAGGGCUGGAGUCCUGGGAGUCCACUGGACCCGGGGUGCACCCAUCAGAGCUCCAAGCACCUCACUUCUGGACUCCACCUGGACACCUCCCUGUCUGAGUGGCCCAGGACGCAUGUGGAAGACCAAACUGGCCGGCCAGUGUGUGGCCUAGGGCAGCCACGUGCAGGGCCUGGGGGUGGAGCAUGGGCGCAG